rnacentral:lncRNA from 1 species
CAUUUACAUUAAUGCUUUUGGGGUUAAGAGGAGACUUCCAACUACAGUUAGAAACCAUUACACUUUGAGAAUAUUGAUUGAGAGGUGAUAAAACAUGAUGUGUGUUAUCAAAGAGCAGAGCCUUCUCAUGUGGAAAUGCUAGGACAGCAAGAGUAGGAGAGCAGACUAACCACUAGAAUCAGGGUUAGGCCUUCAUAAAGCAACUGAUAUCCCCCAACCUGCAGAGGUCUGUUUCCUUGUGUUACUCAGUGAACUGGUAUUUUGUAUUUUCCUGGUAUUCUUAGGUGGCCAUUAUUGCUGUUAUUCCAGCUGUGAUACUGAAAAGAAAUAGCGAAGAUUUUGCCUUCAGAAAGUUCUCAGUGACAACCAGGGUUAUGAAAUAAUCUAUACUGGCAAUUUCUGCAAGUUUGACAAGUCAUCUGUCUUUAAAAUUGGGGCAAGACAAGAACAUUUAAAAAAACUCUUUGUGAAGAGAGACAGUGUCUCAGAGUGUCUCACUGUGUCACCGAGGCUGGAGUGCAAUGGUGUGAUCAUAGCUCACUGCAGCAUCCAACUCCUGGGCUCAGGUGAUCCUCCUGCUUCAGCCUCCUGAGUAGCUGGGACAGCAGGCUCACACCAUCACACCCAGCUAAUUUAACUUUUGUAGAGAUAGAGUCUCACUAUGUUACCCAGGCUGGUGUCUUGAACUCCUGGCCUGAAGCAAUUCUCUGCCUCAGCCUCCCAAAGUGCUGGGAUUAAAGGCAUGAGCCAUUGUGCCAGUAUGGAUUGUUUGUUUUUGGAAUUUUUAUUUAAUAUUUUUUGACUACUGUUGACCACACUUAACUGAAACUGCAGAAACUGAAAACACAGAUAAAGGGCGCUAUUGUAUUUUAUGAUUCCUCCACCAUUUAGUUACUGUGGGGGUGCUACUGGAGACUGUAAAUCUCCUGUUCCUCAAUAACCUUUCCACUCUAUGGUUUUAUCAUCUAUUGAUAAUUUUCACCGGAAUGAAAUUUACUGCCUUCAUUCUAAAAUAGUAAUUUUCCAAUUUAUAAUCUAUUUUGUAUGUUUUAGUCAGUAUUCUAUUGUUAGAAAAGGAUUUGUUUAUAGCAUACUUGUCUUUCUCUUUAUUUAUCUGCAAUCAAUACAGACUCAGAAAUCAUUUUAUUCGGAAUUUUAAUCUAUGUGCGUCAAUAUGGAUCCUGGUCAAAUUACUAUUACAGUAUAUUUUACAUAAGAUACACUCAUUUAGAUGCAUUGAAUGGUUGAUAAAUUUUGAGAAAAGCACACAACAGAAUCAAAAUAUAGAACGUUUUUGUUAUGCUCAUAUUUCUCUGUUGUCCUUUUGCAUGAUUGCUGAAAACUUCCAUUAUAUGAAAAAUGUUUUUCUUUGUAUCACUAUAUAUUUUUGUCAAUUCUAAAAUUUUAUACACAUAAAAUUACCCUGUACUUACUUGUGUGUGCCUGACUUCUUUUGCUUAGCUUAGUGUC